AGAGUUUGAUCCUGGCUCAGAUUGAACGCUAGCGGCAGGCCUAACACAUGCAAGUCGAGCGGCAGCGGGAAAGUAGCUUGCUACUUUUGCCGGCGAGCGGCGGACGGGUGAGUAAUGCCUGGGGAUCUGCCCAGUCGAGGGGGAUAACUACUGGAAACGGUAGCUAAUACCGCAUACGCCCUACGGGGGAAAGCAGGGGACCUUCGGGCCUUGCGCGAUUGGAUGAACCCAGGUGGGAUUAGCUAGUUGGUGAGGUAAUGGCUCACCCAGGCGACGAU
rnacentral:rRNA from 1 species